rnacentral:rRNA from 1 species
UACGUAGGGUGCAAGCGUUGUCCGGAAUUAUUGGGCGUAAAGAGCUCGUAGGCGGUUUGUCGCGUCGGCUGUGAAAAACUCGGGGGCUCAACCCCGAGCCUGCAGUCGAUACGGGGCAGACUAGAGUGCUGUAGGGGAGACUGGAAUUCCUGGUGUAGCGGUGAAAUGCGCAGAUAUCAGGAGGAACACCAGUGGCGAAGGCGGCUCACUGGACCGGUACUGACGCUGAGGCGCGAAAGCGUGGGGAGCAAACAGG